GUAUUCAUUUCGGCGGUACAUAUACUAAAAUUAGAACGAUACAGAGAAGAUUAGCAUGGCCCCUAUGCAAGGAUAACACGUAAAAUCAUGUAGUGUUCCAUAUUUUC
rfam:Schistosoma haematobium scaffold228_3, whole genome shotgun sequence.